AAAGAGGCGGCGCUUAGAGCUGUACUCGCGCUAUACCCAUUCAUACAGCGGUCAGCAACCUGUGAGGGGGUCCUUUUUGUAGUCCAGCAAAAUUUUAAUAUAAAACACAAAUUAAAACCCUCUGUCCUUGGUGAAUAGACAUAUACAGGAAGAGACCUGUGACCCCACACAGCCAGCAUGGCAGAAGCGCAUCAGGCAGUGGCCUUUCAGUUCACCGUCACUCCCGAUGGCAUCGACCUGCAGCUCUGCCACGAGGCCCUGCGCCAGGUCUACCUGUCCGGCCUGCACUCCUGGAAGAAGAGGUUCAUCCGCUUCAAGAAUGGGAUCAUGACUGGGGUGUACCCGGGCAGUCCGACGGGGCUGUUUGUGGUGGUGGUGGGGUACAUGUCUUCAACCAAAUACGCCCUGAUGGACCCCUCGCUGGGACUGACCGCCAAACUGGGGGCUCACGUCCCUAUCAGCAGGUACAUGUCCGAGCAGAGCCAGCGCGUGGUGGGCGGAGUCCUGGUGGGCACAGGCCUGUGGGUGUCCAUCAUCUUCAUCAUGAGGAACGCGCUCAAGAGCCUCCUGUCCUGGCACGGCUGGAUGUACGCCCGGCACGGACAGGUGUCCUGGAAAACACGCUUCUGGAUGGUAUUUGUGCGGCUGUUUUCUGGACGCAAGCCGAUGCUGUACAGCUUCCAGAACUCUCUGCCAAGGCUGCCUGUGCCCUCCGUGAAGGACACCAUGCAGAGAUACCUGGAGUCAGCCCGCCCCCUCAUGGACGAUGUGCAGUUCAAGAGGAUGGAGGGACUGGCCAAGGAGUUUGAGAAGACCCUGGGCCCCAAGCUGCAGUGGUACCUCAAACUCAAGUCCUGGUGGGCUUCCAAUUACGUCAGCGAUUGGUGGGAAGAGUACAUCUACCUCAGGGGACGAGGGCCCAUCAUGGUGAACAGCAACUACUAUGCGAUGGACUUCCUGUACGUUUUCCCCACCAACCUGCAAGCGGCUCGGGCUGGUAACUCCAUCCACGCCGCCAUGCUGUACAGGAGGAAGCUGGACAGAGCUCAGAUCAAACCUAUUUUCAUUCUGGAGAACAGGGUUCCGCUGUGCUCGGCGCAGUGGGAGCGCAUGUUUAACACGUCCCGCGUCCCCGGCGAGGAGACAGACACGCUCCAGCACGUGAACGAGAGCAAGCACAUCGUGGUGUACCACAAGGGGCGCUAUUUCAAGGUGUGGAUGUUCUACGACGGGCGGCUGCUCCUGCCCAGGGAGAUCGAGCAGCAGAUGGAGAGGAUCCUGGCCGACAAGUCCGAGCCACUGCCAGGGGAGGAGAUGCUGGCAGCGCUCACCGCUGGGGACAGAGUGCCUUGGGCAAACGCCCGCAAGACCUACUUCGGCCGGGGGAAGAACCGGCAGUCCCUGGACGCGGUGGAGAAGGCCGCCUUCUUCGUCACGCUGGACGACACGGAGCAGCGCUUCGACGCGCUGGACCCCGUCCACUCCCUGGCCUCCUACGCCAAGUCCCUCCUGCACGGGAAGUGCUACGACCGAUGGUUUGAUAAGUCCUUCAACCUCAUCGUCUUCAAGAACGGAACCAUGGGGCUGAACGCGGAGCACUCCUGGGCCGACGCCCCCAUCAUCGGCCACCUGUGGGAGCACAUGCUGUCCAUGGACCCUGUGAAGUUGGGGUACACCGAGGCGGGACACUGCAAGGGCGAGAUGCACCCCUCUCUCCCCGGGCCUCAGAGGCUGCAGUGGGACAUCCCGGCAGAGUGUCAGAGCUGCAUAGAGAGCUCCCUGAAGGUGGCCAAGGCGCUGGCCGAUGACGUGGACUCCCACAUCAUCCCCUUCGACAGCUUCGGCAAGGGCCUGAUCAAGAAGUGCAGGAUCAGCCCGGACGCCUUCAUCCAGAUCGCCCUGCAGCUGGCCCACUUCAGGGACAAGGGCAAGUUCUGCCUGACGUACGAGGCGUCCAUGACGCGGCUGUUCCGGGAGGGCCGGACGGAGACGGUGCGCUCCUGCACCGUGGAGACCUGCGCCUUCGUCCGCUCCAUGAUGAGCGACAACACGAGAGAGAGCAGGAUGAAGCUGUUCAAGGCUGCUGCAGAGAAGCACCAGCAGCUGUACCGGCUGGCGAUGACGGGGAAGGGCAUCGACCGCCACCUCUUCUGCCUGUACGUGGUGUCCAAAUACCUGGGGGUGGACUCGCCCUUCCUCAAAGAGGUCCUGUCGGAGCCCUGGAGGCUGUCCACCAGCCAGACCCCCCUCCAGCAGGUGGAGCUGUUCGACCUGGUGAAGCACCCUGAGCUCGUGUCCAGCGGGGGCGGCUUCGGCCCGGUGGCUGAUGAUGGCUACGGAGUGUCUUACAUCAUCCUGGGAGAGAACCUGAUAAACUUCCACAUCUCCAGUAAGCUGUCCAGCCCAGAGACGGACUCGCAACGCUUUGGAGAAAACAUCAAACAGGCCAUGCUGGACCUCCUGGAGCUCUUUCAGCUCAACAACAUCGCCAAGAAGUGAUUGCGGCGCUCCUCUCAAAAAAAUACAUUUUAAAAAACCCGUAAAAGGAAAUGCGUUCUAGCAGGAGAAAACAAGGCCCUCAAAAACCAACGAAUAUUAUCUUCCCUCGGCCUGCUUUUGUGGGAUGAAAUCAAAAAAAAUGAUAUGUUUUAAAAAAAUUGUUUAAAAAAAAAAAAAUAGGAAAAAAGAAAACAGGUUACAAAAAGAAAACGGUUGAAGAUUUUAUGAAGAAGUUGCGUUGGUAAUAGGGAAGUGUGGGAUGUGGGUGAGAAGUUAUUGUUUUAGUGUUUUUUGGCAGGGAGAGAUACCCAGACGCACUCUGUGAGAUUACAUACGCUGGUGCCUUAAUCGCCUCAUGUUCCUAUGGCUAGAAGGGUGUGGCCAGUUAACAACCUUAUCUCCGAAUGGUCUAAUGGGGCAUGGGGGGGGUGGGGAAUAUGACAGGAAAGGGUGUGGCCAGUUAACGACCUUAUCUCCUAAUGGUGUAGAGGGGGGCGGGGAAUGUGACAGGAAGGGGUGUGGCCAGUAGACAGGUGGCAGCAGUGAUAGUCUAUAGAGCCUCCUGCUCUGUCACUGUAAUGUGUGUACAGUGAUGAAUAAUUGUUGUUAUUAUUUUAUUAUAAUUUUUUUUCUUUUAGUUGCUCUUAUGACAUCAAGUAAUGCAUUUUGAUCUUUGUGUUUGUUUCUUAUGCUCAGGUUUUAGACGUGCUAGUGUAAAUGCCACUGAAAGGGCACUUUGGCUUGUGUAGGGUGGGAAUGUUUAGGGGGUGGGGGCGGUGGGUUUGGGAGGGUUGGGGGCGGGGGGUUUGGUUUUAGAGGGGAUAGCUGCAGGCAUCCAGGCCUGUGGGAGGCGCUCUUGCAGAUUUUUGGGCACUUUGUGUGUGUGGCCCCGGACGGAAACGGCUCCCAGAAUGCACAGCGGUUAUGAGCUGUGGCGCACCAGGGCGCUCCGCUAGCAGGUUAGUGUGGUGAGCUGCAGCCACCGACAGGGACCUGGGGGGGUCACCCUUCUUCCCGUAGGGCCCCGUGGGACCACGCUUUUCCAGUGGGGGCGUGGCGCUUGGCUGACAGGCUGUGGAUUGGUCAGGGUGGACAGGUCCUGAAUCGGUCCUAAAUCUGUCCUGAAUAGGUCCUAAAUCAGCAGCGGUCCCGUCUCCUCCAGUCCGCCAGCUCUCGCCCCCCUGGGCCCACCGGUUCCUGGGGGCGGUUCGGUGACGUAUGGGACUGUAGGGGCGAGGGUCUGUUUGGGGACGGGGGGACGGGGGGAGGGGGGUAGAGGGGUUUGCUUGCACGUUUUUCGGGACGGUUCCGUUCUGACGCCGACGCGGUGUGGAAGCGCGCGGUGUGAACGCGUGGCUCGUCCAGCACUAGUCUCUCCGCCUCGUACACAGGCCCGGGUACGAGGAGAACCUCCUCGGGGGGGGGCUGCAUAUGAAGAAAUGAGCUUUUCCACAGCGCCCCACCACCCCCCCCCCCCCCCUCACCCCCCCUCCCCACCCCAUCCCACCAUCACCGCACGACACUUCAGCUGGUUCUACUUUUAGCCACUUAUUUAACAGACAUUUACCAAGACGUUACUGUGUGUUUCCUAAUGAACUGUGCAGGAGUUCUGAGUUUUUCGGACAAAAGGGUUCAGUGAAAGUUGUGUGUGUUGGGGGGGGCGGUGGGUGGGGGAGGAUGGGUUGAAGAGCCUGAGUUUUGAGUUCUUGGUGGGCUGAACAGUGAAGUUGACAUAACGUUGCAUAAUAUUGUGUUUUAUCAUUAAGAAGAAAGGUUGUUUUUGAGCCAGAAUGGAGAAAGGUAUUCCAGACUUUUUUUUGCUUUUAAACUAUAUUUGUAUGACAUUUUCCACUGUAGAUUUCACGUUUACAUCGUUUGCAUGGUGUUUUGUCUCAGGCUGUACAUGGUGGCUUAAUUAUAAUUUUAAGGAAAAUAAAGACGCAGCUGCAGAACCAAAACAAGCAUUUUAACACAAUAAAAGUGAAUGUCAGCAGUCA